GAAAAAGAGUGUCCGGGAGCAGAAAAACUUCUCGCCAAGCUGCUCGUGACAGCAGUCGGGAAACCAAAGCCAGGAUGAAUGUUGUAAAGGGCAUCUCUAGACGCGUCACCACCAUCACCGGCAUCAGUGAUGAAGUCCAAGAAGACACCGACAGUAUCUACAAGGAACAUCUACAAAAAGGCUGCGGGGCUCUACAAACGGGAGACCUGGACAAAGCAGAGCAAAACUUUGCGGCUGCGCUCAAGUCCGUUCAUA